GUGGGGAAUCUUGCGCAAUGGGCGAAAGCCUGACGCAGCGACGCCGUGUGCGGGAAGAAGGCCUUCGGGUUGUAAACCGCUUUCAGGAGGGACGAAGCCACUCGGGUUAAUAGCCCCGAGGGUGACGGUGCCUCCAGAAGAAGCCCCGGCUAACUACGUGCCAGCAGCCGCGGUAAUACGUAGGGGGCUAGCGUUGUCCGGAUUUAUUGGGCGUAAAGAGCGUGUAGGCGGCCAGGUAGGUCCGGUGUGAAAACUCGAGGCUCAACCUCGAGAUGUCAUCGGAAACCAUCUGGCUAGAGUCCGGAAGAGGAGAGUGGAAUUCCUGGUGUAGCGGUGAAAUGCGCAGAUAUCAGGAAGAACACCUAUGGCGAAAGCAGCUCUCUGGGACGGUACUGACGCUGAGACGCGAAAGCGUGGGGAGCAAACAGGAUUAGAUACCCUGGUAGUCCACGCCGUAAACGAUGGGCGCUAGGUGUGGGCGGUGUCGACUCCGUCCGUGCCGAAGCUAACGCAUUAAGCGCCCCGCCUGGGGAGUACGGCCGCAAGGC
rnacentral:rRNA from 1 species